GACGAACCGUGCGAACGUUGUUCGGAAUCACUGGGCUUAAAGGGCGCGUAGGCGGGCCUUCAAGUCCGGGGUGAAAUCCUCCCGCUUAACGGGAGAAGAGCCUCGGAGACUGAGGGCCUCGAGGAGGGUAGGGGCGUGCGGAACUAUGGGUGGAGCGGUGAAAUGCAUUGAUAUCCAUAGGAACUCCGGUGGCGAAGGCGGCACGCUGGACCCUUUCUGACGCUGAGGCGCGAAAGCCAGGGGAGCAAACGGG
rnacentral:rRNA from 1 species